rnacentral:rRNA from 1 species
GGGUGUAGUAACAUCGUGACUAACCUACCCUGUGAGUGGGGGAUAACUGAGUGGAAACCUUAGCUAAUACCCGCAUAACACCUACGGGCUCAAAGGAGCAAUUCGCUUCUGGGAGGGGUGUCGCGGCCGAUUAGUUUGUUGGCGGGGUAAUGGCCCACCAAGACGAUGAUCGGUAUCCGGCCUGAUGAGGGCGCACGUGAUCACCACUGGAACUGAAACACGGUCCAGACUCCUACGGGUAGGCAGCAGAAUGGGGAAUUUUGCGCAAUGGGGGAAACCCUGACGCAGCAACGCCGCGUGGAGGAUGAAGUACUUCGGUACGUAAACUCCUUUCGAUCGGGACGAUUAUGACGGUACCGAGAGAAGAAGCCCCGGCUAACUUCGUGCCAGCAGCCGCGGUAAUACGAGGGGGGCGAGCGUUGUUCGGAAUUAUUGGGCGUAAAGGGUGCGUAGGCGGUUUGGUAAGUCUCGUGUGAAAUCUAUGGGCUCAACUCAUAGUCUGCACGAGAAACUGCCGGGCUUGAGUGUUGGGAAGAGGUGAGUGGGAAUUUUCCGGUGUUAGCC